GCGGGGAUGCCGGAGUGGUCAAACGGGCAUGGCUAAGGACCAUGUGGCUUAGUGCCUACGCAGGUUCGAGUCCUGCUCCCCGCA
rnacentral:tRNA from 1 species